UACGUAGGGGGCGAGCGUUGUCCGGAUUUAUUGGGCGUAAAGAGCUCGUAGGCGGUUUCGUAAGUCGGGUGUGAAAACCCCAGGCUCAACCUGGGGACGCCACCCGAUACUGCGAUGACUAGAGUCCGGUAGGGGAGUGUGGAAUUCCUGGUGUAGCGGUGAAAUGCGCAGAUAUCAGGAGGAACACCAACGGCGAAGGCAGCACUCUGGGCCGGAACUGACGCUGAGGAGCGAAAGCGUGGGUAGCGAACAGG
rnacentral:rRNA from 1 species